GCAGGCCAUCGCGGUCAUCCUGAGACAGGCGGUACUUGUCAGGGUCGCCCACCGGACCCUGGUAGAAGGGCCUCAUAAUGGAGUUGGGGGCUGAGGAGUGGCCCAGGCCCAGGGCGUGGCCAAACUCAUGGACAGCCACGGCAAACAGCUCAGGUGCUCAGAACUGCCAGGACCCAGAGGAUUCACAUGCCAGCCCCGGCUGAAGCCCAGCUCCUCAUCAACCGGUGAGCCGCCUGCCAGCUCCUGCUUUGGCUGCCGAGAGGCCUGAAGUGACUAAGACAGAGACACAGCCCCGCAGCACCACAGGGAGGCCCCAAUUACCCCAUGCGGAUGAGUUUCAUGGCCACCUCUAACUAAGGAAAGGACAUCGAUGUCAUCUGUAACUUCCGGUGCACUGGGGCACACAGCUGCAUCUCCCCAUGCUCACCUCCUGCCUCUUGCUCUGCCCAGUCUCGCCAACCCCGCAGACUGCUGGCUCUCAG
rnacentral:antisense_RNA from 1 species